UUAAGAUGAAAAAUAUGUGCAAAACUAGAAUAUAUUUAUUGAAAUUAUUUCGUGAGUUUAUAUAUACAUCUAACUACCGUAGUUUGAAAAUUUGAAUUUGUGAUUUCCAGGUGUCACCAAACUGAACAGAUAUGGAAGGGUCCGUGAUCAGUAUAUGAAUCAGACAGAAUAUUUAUAGUUGGCAAAGCUAAAGCAGUGAAGUGGUCACACAUAGCUGCUUGGCUUAUACAAUAAAUUUCGAUGCACAUAAUGUUACACUUACACCAUCCGUUGACAACUCAUGAUGUUUGGUGAAUCUAACGCUACAUAAAAAGACAGCUCCCAAAUUAUUGUGGUGAUUUAGUGAUAAGUAUUAUCCAUUACUUACACGUGCUCUAAUUCCCCUAGCUCCCGUGUCUAGUGAGAAUUGGUUGAGAGAAAACUUAAUGCAAGAACCCUAUUUGUUGUUUCUCGAUAUUUUCUUCUUGUUGGUUGGGGCAGGAUUUUCACAUGGGUCUUAGAAGGCUUUCUCACCCUAUGGUUCACUUCUAAUGGUUGAGCCUUCAGUCCCUCAAGUACAUCUCUGAUUAACCAAUCCGAAAGAUAAAAGAAAAGAAAUUUCAGAAAGGGUGCAGGAAACAACUUAGAGGACCAGGAAGCAACAGCCGCAUCUCUCCCAAGAUGGACUUCCUGAUUCCAACUCUUGCAUUUAUGAACCAGUUUUAAAUUAAGCUGCCCAAAUACAAAUUGUUUUUUCUGCUUCUUUCUCUC